rnacentral:lncRNA from 1 species
CUCUCUCUCUCUUCCCCAACUUCCACCGCCACCAUCGUCGCCUGGUUCCGGCCAGCUCCGGCGAAGUCCGUCACCAUCCAACACAUCCACGAGGUCAUCUUGUGACGCUGCUCCUUCUCCACCGCGUUGAUCCAUCGCGUCGCUCCUCUAUGCGCGGCCCCGGCUAACCCUAGCACCGCAGUCAUCGGUGCACUACACAGCGUCGCCAUGGACGCCGGCGCUGCGCCUGCGGCUCCGAUCAGUCCUCCCCGACACCGCCUAAGUCCUCCCGCACUGCAUCGCCUCCUGAUCGUUAUUCCAGGCGCCUCCAUCGACUGGAGGAGCGAUGGGCCCUCAUCCUCGUGCCAGUGCGCGUCCGUGAAGGAAAUGAACCGAGAUGUGUCGCCUCAGAUCCACUGUGUGAAGGCAGCGGUGAGCGUUAUCUCCACUUCCCCCAUUUCCUCUCUCUCUAUCUCUCUCUCUAUGUGUUCAUCCGCUCGAGAUUCAAUUGGAUAUGUUAAUUUGUUUUUUUUGCAGGGGGAUGGAUCACAAGGGGAG